GACGAACGCUGGCGGCGUGCUUAACACAUGCAAGUCGAACGGAAAGGCCCCUUUGGGGGUACUCGAGUGGCGAACGGGUGAGUAACACGUGAGUAACCUGCCCUUGACUUCGGGAUAACUUCAGGAAACUGGGGCUAAUACCGGAUAGGAAUCCUUGCUGCAUGGUGGGGGUUGGAAAGCUUCGGCGGUUUUGGAUGGACUCACGGCUUAUCAGCUUGUUGGUGGGGUAGUGGCUUACCAAGGCUUUGACGGGUAGCCGGCCUGAGAGGGCGACCGGCCACAGUGGGACUGAGAUACGGCCCAGACUCCUACGGGAGGCAGCAGUGGGGAAUAUUGCACAAUGGGCGGAAGCCUGAUGCAGCAACGCCGCGGGCGGGAUGACGGCCUUCGGGUUGUAAACCGCUUUCAGCAGGGGCGAAGCUUGUGGUGACGGUACCUGCAGAAGAAGCACCGGCUAACUACGUG
rnacentral:rRNA from 1 species